GACAGAGGGUGCAAACGUUGUUCGGAUUUACUGGGCGUAAAGGGCGCGUAGGCGGCCAGCACAAGUCAGUUGUGAAAUCUCCGGGCUUAACUCGGAAAGGUCAACUGAUACUGUGCGGCUAGAGUGCAGAAGGGGCAACUGGAAUUCUCGGUGUAGCGGUGAAAUGCGUAGAUAUCGAGAGGAACACCUGCGGCGAAGGCGGGUUGCUGGGCUGACACUGACGCUGAUGCGCGAAAGCCAGGGGAGCGAACGGG
rnacentral:rRNA from 1 species